GGAAGGAAAACAGGAAGAGAAGGCGGGGCAGAUAGUGCUACGUGGAAUACGUGACCUACGUGUCCUACGUGUCCUACGUGACCUAGGCCGAAUGUAGUGAUUGUUUCUGAUUGGGGCAUGCGCAGGAAGGGAGCAGGGAAGGAUGCAAGCUCUGGAAAAAGGACCUUUGCUUGGAAUGUCCCAGCGCCCUAAGAACAGCAGCAGCACCGGAUGUAGUCUCUGCUUCCGGUUGUCAUCAGCCAAUGAGAGAAGGUUAAAGAGAACACUAGCGUUUUCCCACAGGAGAAUGCGAGGAAAUCAGAUGUGAGAGACUAGAAGUAACAGAUAAAGUCCAUCACGCAUCAAAUAUCUGCAGAAACUACUGUAGGUUGACAAGAUCAAGACAAAACAGAUCGAAUUCCCAGGGUGUGUUUCAGCUGUUGGGAAGCAACAUGGAGGGUCAGAUGAUCAUGAAGGCAGGAGCUGUGUUUUAUUUUCCAUGAAUUCUCUGUGCCGCCCAGUCAAUGUUUGCUGCAUUAAAUCCAG
rnacentral:lncRNA from 1 species